GCCACGGAGGUGACGAAUCAUUCCCCCUUCCGCUCCCGUAACCUCGUCGCCUGAGAACCUGUGAGCUCUGAGAGGAAAAUGGCCGCUGUGGAGUCGGAGCUGCGAGAUCCAGAUAUGAAUGAGGCUGACAUAUCUGAUAAAAGUGGCAUUGAUGAAAAUGGAGAGGUCUCAGAAGCAGAACAGCCACAGGUCAAGCACAGUAAACAUAAGAAAAAGAAACACAAGCAUCGGAGCAAGCACAAAAAACACAAGCAUUCUCCUGAAGAAGACAAGGACAAAAAACACAAACAUAAGCAUAAACAUAAGAAACACAAGAGGAAAGCGAUAGGAGAUCCCGACAAAGAUGACAAUUCACCAUCCAAGAGAGCAAAACUAGAUGACUUUGCCUUGCUGGAAGAUUUGGAGAAGCAACGAGCUAUGAUCAAAGCAGAGCUUGACAAUGAAUUAAUGGAAGGUAAAGUACAGUCUGGCAUGGGCUUAAUACUGCAGGGUUACAAUUCUGGUUCUGAAGAGGAGGGAGAGAUCAAUGAGAAGAUUCGAAAUGGAAGAAGAGCAUCAGGAAAGUCAAAUGUGAAGGGAAAGCAGGAGCUCGAUUCAAAAUCCAUUGCUAAAAGACGGAGUCGCAGUAAGUCCAAAGAGAAGACGAAACACAAGUCAGAAAAGAAAAAAAAUAAAGUCAGCUCUGAAACUCCUAAAGAAAAAGUACCUAGAAGUAAGUCUAAGGAGAGAAGGAAAUCUAAAAGUCCUUCUAAAAGAAACAAAACCCAAGAUCAAGUGAAAAAGUCUCCACCCUUGCGCAGACAAUCCCCAGAAAAAAACAGGAAAUCUGUAUCUCCCUUAGAGGACAGAGUAAGGGUAAGAGACCAGAAGAAAUCACCUGUAGCUACAGAGAGUAGGGCUAGAGAUCGUAGUAGGAAGUCCAAGUCCCCUCUACCCAGAAGAAGUAAAUCAAAGGAAAGAAGAUCAAAGUCAAAGGAGCAUAAACCAAGGAGAUCUGAUACAGAGAGAGACAAAAAACCUGUCAAGUCUCCUUCGAAAGAUGCUUCUUCUGGAAAGGAAAACCGCUCCCCAGGCCGUCGACCAGUACGCAGCCCAAAAGCAAGAAGUCUUACUCCUAAACAGCGUGACAGGACAUCAAGGCAUAGUAGAUCUCCAUUUACUCAAGAUAAAAAGUCUAAACUAUCCCCUAUUCGAACACAGUCCCCAGCUAGGAGAGCAAAAAGUAAAUCUGUAGAAAGGAAACGGCGUGGACAGGAGAGGAGACGACUGUCUUCUCCUAGAGCAAGAGGCAGAGAAGACGUUCUUGCAAGGCAUGAAAGGGUGAAAGAAGCCAGCCCUGCUCGAUGGUCCCCUUCUAGAAGACGUUCAAGUAGGUCUCCUGGACGAAGGAGGUCACGUUCACCCCUUAGACGUAGCAGAUCACCCUGGAGAAGAAGCCGAUCUCCUCACAGAAGGGAUAGAGGCAGAAGAAGUAGAUCACGUAUGCGAAGGCGUUCAUAUUCCAGAGGAGGACGAAGUCGCCGAAGGAGAAGUAGGAGCAAAGAUAAAGAAGAUAAGUUUAAAGGAAGCCUUUCUGAAGGAAUGAAGGUGGAACAGGAAUCUUCAGAUGAAAACCUAGAAGAUUUUGAUGUUGAAGAGGAGGAUGAAGAGGCUCUUAUUGAGCAAAGACGACUGCAGAGGCUAGCUAUUGUGGAAAAAUACAUAAAGGAAGACAGCAAUAUGUCUGGGAACUCUGAACCGAGCAGUCCGCAGAGUAGUUCACGAAGUCGGUCUCCCUCACCAGAUGACAUCCUGGAGCGGGUUGCAGCAGACGUUAAGGAAUAUGAAAGAGAGAAUCUGGAUAACUUUGAGGCUUCUGUAAAAGCCAAGCACAACCUAAUGACUGAGCAGAAUAAUGGUUCUGUCCAGAAAAAAAUAUCUGCUCCGGACAUGUUCACCGAAUCUGAUGACAUGUUUGCAGUGUAUUUUGAUAGUGCUCGUUUUAGAGCUGCUGGUAUUGGAAAGGACUUCAAGGAAAAUCCCAACUUGAGGGAUAACUGGACAGAUGCUGAAGGCUAUUAUCGUGUUAACAUAGGUGAAACUUUGGAGAAACGGUACCAUGUCUAUGGAUAUACAGGCCAAGGGGUAUUCAGUAAUGUUGUGCGUGCUCGAGACAUGGCAAGAGCGAAUCAAGAAGUUGCAGUGAAAAUCAUUAGAAAUAAUGAAUUAAUGCAAAAAACUGGCUUGAAAGAAUUGGAGUUUCUGAAGAAGCUGAAUGAUGCCGAUCCGGAUGACAAAUUUCACUGUUUGCGCUUGUUCCGUCACUUCUACCAUAAGCAGCACUUGUGCCUGGUGUUUGAACCACUAAGUAUGAACCUGAGAGAAGUUUUGAAGAAAUACGGUAAAGAUGUAGGCUUACAUAUCAAAGCCGUCAGGUCCUACAGUCAGCAGCUCUUUUUGGCUUUAAAACUUCUAAAAAGAUGCAACAUUCUUCAUGCAGAUAUUAAACCUGAUAACAUACUGGUAAAUGAGUCCAAAACCAUUCUUAAACUUUGUGACUUUGGAUCUGCAUCACAUGUGGCAGACAAUGAUAUUACACCAUAUCUUGUCAGUAGAUUUUACAGAGCUCCUGAAAUCGUAAUUGGAAAAAUAUAUGAUUAUGGAAUAGAUAUGUGGUCUGUUGGUUGCACAUUGUGUGAACUCUAUACUGGAAAAAUCUUGUUCCCUGGAAAAACGAAUAACCACAUGCUAAAACUGGCUAUGGACCUGAAAGGAAAAAUGCCAAACAAGAUGAUUCGGAAAGGUGUAUUUAAAGACCAGCACUUUGAUGCAAAUUUGAACUUCAUGUACAUUGAAGUUGACAAAGUUACAGAAAGGGAGAAAGUUACCGUUAUGAGCACUAUUAACCCAACAAAGGACCUGUUGGCUGAUUUAAUUGGAUGCCAGAGGCUGCCAGAAGACCAGCGUAAAAAAGUUCACCAACUUAAAGACUUGUUGGAUCAGAUAUUAAUGCUAGACCCGGCUAAACGAAUCAGCAUCAAUCAAGCACUUCAGCAUCCUUUCAUUCAAGAAAAGAUCUAAAUGUGGGCAGUGGUUUGAAUAGUUCACACCAGGACUGAAGACCUUCCACAGCAGCUUGUUAAUGUAUAUAAACAUAUAAAUAUUUCCCUUGCAAAGUUGAGGAAGCUUGUAUUGUUUGAAUUAAAACCAAGGGUUUAUUUUACUUUAUUAGCUUUUUUUUUCCCCAAUGAACUGUCUGAAAAAUUGUGAUAUCUGUACUUUUUCACAAUAUUAAUGCUUGUAAAUUGGCAGAACUAUUACAGUUUGCUUUGAAAAUUAAGUUUGGGAAAACCAAAUUGCGAUUUAAUGUUUGGAUGUAAUAUUUUAUUUUUAGCAGUCACGGCUCAUUUUUUCUUUUUUAAUUUUGUUUUGGAAGAAUACAUGACCAGCAUAAAUGCUGUUUAUAUUCACAUUUUCUAGGUUGCGUACGCAGGCCUCAGCAGCAUGCCCUUGGUCUAGUCAGUGCCGAAGGGAGGCCUGUUCCUCCAUGAGCCUGCCUGCAGGGAUGGUCUCUUUUAAAGCAGGUUGUGUACAACUUACAGUACACUGAAGGUAAGCUGAACCAUCAACAUCACUGGUGUUUUAAGAUGUUUCAAUAUGUAGCUGUAUUGCCAUUUGACAAAUGCAAGUUUGGUAGCUAAAUGUGGCAGCAGUUUGCUCUUGCAUGUUUGCUGGUGACCUACUGUUCGUUCUUUUGUAAUGUUUUAAGUUGGACAAUAGUUGUGGUAGUUCAGUCUAAACUUCUCUCUCCAUCUGGUUUUAGUGGAGUGUGUGCGCGCUUGAUGGAAGGGGUGCGCCUUCAGUGUACUGUUUCUUAAUUGUUUUCCGUUUUGUAUGAUUUCCCCCCCCCCCCCCCCCUUUUUAAGGCCAUUAGUUUAAGUGGGAAAGCUUCAACACAAUCAUAGUUCUGCUCUUUUCCCUACUAAAGGAGUUGUCUGGUGGAAGGGGAGAAUUCUUUAGAAAUUGGCUAAGAGUGGUAGAAAAUGCUAAAAGGAUGGUUACUCACCGAUCCUCCACAAUUCACAUUCUGACUCUGACCAGGUCUCUACUAGCAGGCCCCAUCCUGACUGUAGAUGCCUGCUCAGCUAAUCAUUGUCAGAGGUGGGUGGCCACUGCAGUCAGUGGGUGGCUACCCUGACAUAGCCAGGCAUUGACUGUCAAGAUGGUAUUGGAAAGCAGAGACCCAUCGGAACAGAGCAGCAGGGAUCGGUGAGUAUCCUUUCUUUUACUUUUUAUACCACUCUAAGCCUUUUCUAAAGAACUUUGCUCUCCCGGACAAACCACUUUGCAAUGUACUUGUGUGCAUUUCUUAACGGCACAAAAGGGGCAUCUCUUUUCUGACCAAGGAUAUGUAAAUGGGAGCUCCCCUUUGUGCCGUUUCUAGGUUCUGAUGAAAAAAAAAAAAAUGUUUUUAUUUGUUUAAUUGUUCAUGAUCAUGUUGUCUUUCAGUACAGGACUAAACUCUCCAAUCUUGAGCAAAGCAGCUGCUUUUUAAAAGCGCAAGACAAGGCCUCCCAACGGCUGGUUUGCUGAGACACCAUCUUCAUCUUCCUCACAAGGUCAUUCUUGACAGCAUGUGUAGAUAAGCAAUUAGCAAACAAAAAUCACAAAGCAAUUGGUUUUGACACAUAAGCUCUGGAUAAACUCUAGCAAGUGCUAGCAUACUAGGUUUUGAUCACUUCCAUCAUUUAGUGACAGCAUGGUGAAUUAUAACAGAACCAUAUUGUCCCUCUUUGCCGGGACUGCUUUCCAUUAUGAGGUUUAAAUUAGUGGUAGAGUGAUAGGCUAUGACAAGUACAAGACAGGAAUGUUAAAGAAGCAUGUGUUUUAAUACUCAGGUUUCAGAUAUAGUUGCACCUUGCAGAAAAAUAUAAAAAAUAAUGGUUCCAAGAAAGAAAAAGGAGCACACAUCAGAUGUACAUUUAGUACACUAGAAGAAAACAGUAAUGCAGAUUAAUCUGCAUUUUUGCCAAUCACUUUGAAAGAAUAAAGUUGCUGGUUAAACUGUCUCUUUUGUUUUAGAUGGGGUUUCACAGAAGAAGAUGGCGUGAAGACCCAAACCAAGGUUUCUGUUUUUCUCACAGAGUGCUUAAGUCAUUUAAUAGGCAACCCAUGAAAUAUACCAUGUGAACAUUUUUGCAUUCUGGAUACACCGUGUAAUUCAGCUUGUAAGAAAUGUGUCCAAAAUCAUGUAAAUUCAGGUCUUCAUUCAGGCCUGCAAACUACCUUAGAAGCUUAAAGGGGUUAUCCCAUGAAAAGUGUUACUAUGCAAUGAGUGCAGCAUUUUAAAUGAAGUAUUACUGCAAUCUACAUGCAAUAAAAAUAUUGUUCCUUUAGUAUGCAUGAUACAUUUUCCUCCUUGGUAACGCCACCUGCUGGUUAUCCUUAUGAACCACCUUCUCCUGCAUUCAGUGGUGGACUGACAUUCUCAGUAGCUUACCGUCGCCCAUGUUAGCGUAGUGUUAUAAUAGUGAAGAAUGUGAUGUAGCCCAGUUGCCAUUUAUUCAUCCGUACUUCUGGUUCCUACAGGUAUAUACCUAUAUCUGUCCAUACAACUAAACUUUGU